rnacentral:rRNA from 1 species
AUUGAACGCUGGCGGCAGGCCUAACACAUGCAAGUCGAGCGGAUGAAGGGAGCUUGCUCCUGGAUUCAGCGGCGGACGGGUGAGUAAUGCCUAGGAAUCUGCCUGGUAGUGGGGGCUAACGUCCGGAAACGGGCGCUAAUACCGCAUACGUCCUGAGGGCGAAAGGGGGGGAUCUUCGGACCUCACGCUAUUAGAUGAGCCUAGGUCGGAUUAGCUAGUUGGUGGGGUAAAGGCCUACCAAGGCGACGAUCCGUAACUGGUCUGAGAGGAUGAUCAGUCACACUGGAACUGAGACACGGUCCAGACUCCUACGGGAGGCAGCAGUGGGGAAUAUUGGACAAUGGGCGAAAGCCUGAUCCAGCCAUGCCGCGUGUGUGAAGAAGGUCUUCGGACUGUAAAGCACUUUAAGUUGGGAGGAAGGGCAGUAAGUUAAUACCUUGCUGUUUUGACGUUACCAACAGAAUAAGCACCGGCUAACUUCGUG